GCCGAGCGACGCAGCCGGGACGGCAGCUGCAGCGCGGACCGGAGGAGCCAUCUUGUCUCGUCGCCGGGGAGUCAGGCCCCUAACUCAAAGAAGCCCUGGCGCGCCCUCCCCCCCUUCCCGGUCUGGUAGGGCGAAGGAGCGGGCGCGCGGUCGAUCGAGCGAUCGGUUGGCGGCUCUUUCUCCUGCUCUGGCAUCCAGCUCUUGGGGCGCAGGCCCGGCCGCCGCGGCGCGCGCCCGGUGGCCGUUGGCGCUCGCGCCGCGUCUUUCUUCUCGUACGCAGAACUCGGGCGGCGGCCUAUGCGUUUGCGAUUCGACGAGGAGUCGUCCGGGUGGUUGGCGGCGGCGGGCAGCUGCUCCGCCCCGCUCCCGGGGAGGCGGCGGCGGCGGGAUUUGGCGCGGCCGGGGAAGCUGGGGUGGCCGGGGCCGGCCUGGAGGCCUGGCGCCACCCUUCGGGGCCUGCAAGGACCCAGUUGGGGGGGCAGGAGGGAGCCGGGGGAUGGUUGGUGGUGGGCUUUCUACUUUGCCUUUUCCUCCUUAUGCCGCCUUAGUGAGGGGCGGGAGCUCUGGCGGCAGCUCCGGGGUGGAGAAGCGAGCUCCGGAGUCGGAAGAGCUGUGUUUGCUUCCGGGCCUCGCCACCAGCUGGCCGAGUGACCUUAGGCAAGUCACUCAGUAAUUUGUCUGCGCCUCAGUUUCCUCCUCUAUCAACGUUUGUGGGAUUGAAAGCGCUUUGUAAACCAUAAAGCGUCGGUGGAUGAAAGGAAUGAUUAUUGUUCGUUAUGGUUGGCUUUUUUUUUUUUUUUUUGGAGUUGUAAGAAAACUUAGAAAUCCCCAGUCCUUGGAUAUUGAACCUGGAAACAUUGGAUUGGAGAUGGAGAUCCCCAAACUCCCUGAAAUUGUGUGCAGAAGUUAGUGGGAAUAUGCAAUUUAGGGAAAUGAGAAUCCAUCGCCAGCAAGUUUUCAGAGGGGGCUGUGACCCGGAAGAGUUAAGAACCACAGUUCCUUUGCCACAAGGAGGAAACUGAGGCUUAGAUGUCAUUUGGGACCCGUCACAACCAAGCUGAAGCCCCUGUUGAAUCCCUGGGAUAUGUGAGCUGUUCUAUGCAUAGUGGAUAUUCGGGGUAACAACACUCCACUGCUUGGCUUCUGUUCUGAGUCCUUUCACUGUGGGUUGCCUGAAGGGCGGCUGAUGCUUAUGGUACAGUAACACCCAGUAUAAAGCAGCUGAAACUAGGAGUGGAUGUGUUCUCUAAUGUCAAGAAGCCUAUUCAAUCUUUGGCCCAACAACUUUUUUAUUUUCUGGUGCCUGACUACCUUUCUGACUCUUUCACUGAUUAUUUUCCAUGACCAUGGUUGCCAUCCGUUACUUGCUCUUGUUUUAUAUUCUUAGCUCCGUGUGGUUGGUAGUGAGCAGGCUUAUUUUUAAAUGGUGCUGCCAAGUCCAGCUAAUUAAUGGUGCAGGUGGGUUUUUAGCAAGCUGUCUCACAUGGAAUUCCUGAAGAUGUUUGGUUUUAUUAAUUGAAAUUGACAUUCUCUGAAAAGUUUGGUUAGAACUUUUUCUGAACCUCAAAGUCAGUAGUUUGGGAGUGUUUCAAACCUUAACUUUCCUCCCCGCCUGCUUUGUAUUCUCUUUGCUUGCAAGUGUGUUAGUAAGAUGGCCAAAAUGCCAGUUUUUGCUUCUUUGUUAAUCGUCAGCUGCUUUUUAUCAGAUUCCAGGCCAUUGUCCAGCAAACACUAUAGAAAUGUUUGAACACUUGGAUUUCAAACAUUUUCGUUUUGUGGAGUGGUGCUUACCGUGGUACAGCUCUAAGUAAGCCAAUGCAAACACACCUAAGUGUUUGUCUGUUAGGUGUUAGCCGGUUCUGCUAUUUCUUAUAAAUGUCUGGAAAAAAUCAAUUGACUGUUCCGUUUACCUGGAGGGCAGAGACAAAUGAUCUCAAUUCCAGAGAAAUGACUGUUUUGGAGACAAAUGUGUUGGUCUUUUAGCUCUUUUGUAAUUAAAUCUGGAUGUACCUCAAAAGAAUCUUGAGACUGUGGUGAUAAGAUGCUUUCCUCAGGAGAAAGGAGGAGAAAACCAACUGGAACUCAAAGCUUGAAAUUCUGUGACAAAACAUGAACUGUCCAGAAUAGGAGGUUGAAAGGGUUUCACUACAGCGUUCUGCACUCGCUGGAACCGAUGUCUUUCAGUGUAAUCACCGCACGGGCUCCAGAUUUCCAGAAUUUCAAGAACUGGAUCUGGGACCUGGAAGAAACUACCAGGGUGUGACAGGAACUCGGAAGCUGGACGUUUUUGUUUUCAAAUUUGAGGAGUGUUGUCCUUGUUUUGAAAGAGACAAUGACUGAGCAAGCACUGCCACCAGCGCUGUUACUGGAAAUUCGGAGACCUGAGUUUUCACCAAACCCUCAGUGCAAACUCUGGCGAAGUGAACUACGUCCUGUGCCUCCUGGUUGCCGAGUGUUCACCUGGAUCUUCUGAUCACCUUUGUGCUAUUCCAUCAGCCUGCAGAUCUGGUACCUGGAUUUUUGCCCAUGGUGAUGGAUUCUGCCACCUCAGUACUGAAGAAGACAUCAUUCCAGUGGACCACUGUGAUCUAGGAGGCGUAUCCAGCGAAUCAUCAUGAUGUGGCCUUCACCUCCACUCCUGUCCUGUUCUACCCAGAUUCAACACAGCCUUUUGAAGUUCAACUUCUCAAGCCAAAUAGCUGAAGCCAUUUUAUCACAACAAAGGUUCAGCUUGUUCCAUAAGUGUGCAUUUCGUUUCUCCAGUUAAAGCUUUCAGAGACACAUAAUAAAUUUGGACCAGGGGAUUUUUAGUUAUCAGCACUGUCUGAAGAAUGGCAGCAUCUUUUUGAGAACCAUAUCGGACCACGCCCCACUGUCUCAAAUGAUUGAAAUUCAGGAAUUGUCUGAUCUGGACCCCAUUCUUUUUCCAUUUCAAAUCUGUAGUAGCCUACUGAAUGAGCAAGCAGAUAUUCUGACCCGUUGGGAUUAAAACAAAGGCACAGUGAACUCACAGCAUCUUCUUUGGGAUUACUCAGGAACCAGAACUUUUCACACAAAUGUAAGAAAUUCUACCAAGGAAUCCCUUUACCUAACAGCAUCUCACAAAGCUCCAAUCAGAUUCCAGAAAAGGCCUCUUGAUACAUCCAGGUAGAACCUAUAUGGUAAUCCCUUAUAUUUAUAUAGCACUUUACAGUUUCAAAGCACUUUCACUGGCAUUAAUCUUAGUUACCAAAUAACACAAAUUGUAAUCCCUUUUUUCAGAUAAGGAAAUGGAAAUUUAAAAGUUAUCCAAGGUUACACAGCUGCAAAAUGGUAGAAGCCAGGCCUUCUGACUCCCAGUCCAGUUCUCUCUUUGGAAUUAACUUAGCCUCUAUUUUAUGUGCUGUGUUAAAAUAACUGGAGAUUGGGAACCCCAGAAAAGUUUCCAACUUCCCGGUCUCAGUCAGUGCCCUCAGUCAGUUAGGAUGUCAGAGAUGUGAUCUUGCGAUAGUUGUACCUGGACCUGAAGUCAUCUCUGGGGUUUGGCAGUAGUAGACUGUCUACCCAUUAGAAAACACAAAGCUACUUUUAGAUCUUUCAUCCAUCUUUGUGGUCUUCCCAAAGAUGGCCUAGUUGAUUGGGGAUCCCUGUUGAUUCCAUGUCUUCCUUUUUCUUAUUUUUUUAAUUCUAAUUAAUAUUCCCAGACACAACUCUGUGGUCCUCUAUCCCCAAAUUAAUAUUUACAUAGAAUGAGCCAUCAUUUUUUUUAGAAUAGUACUGUUCAUAUGUAUGUGUGUGUAUGUAUAUAUUUGAUAUACACAUGUAAUAUGUAUCAUAUAUAAAGAGCUUCUGUAGUCCAAUAAUGUGAUAAAAUACUGUAAAAUGUGUCCCCUUCCCUGAUUGUUAAUGCAGUGUAGUGUAUUAAAGGAUCUCAAAAGGCUUACAGUAAAGAGCCUCAUUUAGUUGUUUGGCCCAGUGUGUCCUAAUUUAAUCAAAUACAUAAUGUUAUUUUUGUAGCAUUUCUUUUAAUGGAAUGGGAAAACUUCUUUAAAGCAAUACAGCCAGUGUUUCCUGAUUGCCAACAUAAUUGCCCUGGAGACCUAGGAAUAAACAGUAUCUUUGAAAUUCUUCCCCCCUCCCCCCUUUUUUUCUUACCUUGGCAAUAACUUCUUGAAUUAGUAUGUCUUCAUCAUCUGAGAACCCUACAUCUUGACAGUUAGCUUUAUUUUUUGUCAAAGAAACCUCUAGAAGAUUUGUGGGGAUACAUGGGAGAGGAGUGUGGAGAAGUUAAUUCUGCCAGAAAGAUAGAUUAAUUUUAUGAUGUUUAGCAAUAUACUUCUCUCAUAGAAUUGUGCUGUAAGUCUAGUUUAAGGGAACUACAUCUCAGGUGAGUGAGGAGGGAAAAGGAGAAAAAUAGAGUAAAAGGGAAUGGGUGAGAAGGAGAUACUUUCUUAGGAUUUAAGUUGUGGCCCAUUGAAAUCUUACAAUACUUGAAGUCAUCCAGGCAAGGGCUUCUUGAAAUAAUAUUUACAAAGAAACUAAUGCAUUUUGCAGCCAUUUGCUGACUGCAGAAAAACCCAGCGCUAUUGUCACUUAAAACCAAUAGCCUUGCCCUGAUAGUCACUUAAAGCCCAAUCAGGCAGUCUUGAGUUUGUAGCAGACUGGAAUGUUAACUUUUUCAUUUUGUAAUGUGGCCCACAUUAGAGAAAGAAUAAAUAGAAGAACGCUUUGGCUUACCACAGGCUUUGCUCACAGUUUCUGGUUUCUGUGACCUAUUUUUUUUAUUUCAGCAUUUUGUGAACAACUUACUCUUAGAUCAUUGGUUUUCCAAAGGCUUUGUGGCCGUGAAGCCCUUUGAAUGAAAACUUUAUGGAAGCCCAGAGUAAGAGUGAAGCUGCUCUGGAGGAAGCAGAAGUGGGGGGCCUGAAACCUGCCACAAGCAUCUUACUUUAUCAUCAUGGUGACACCUAAGGAGACUUCUUUACAACAACUAGAAUUCUUCAGAACACAGGUUGGAAACCACUGCCCUAGACAACAGUAUAUUCGACCUGAAUCGCAUUCUGUUCUGUACGUCUACUCAACAUGUCGGUGUUCAGUUGAUAAUGAGCAUUCUUAGGAAUACUCAGAGAAGUGCAAGAAGAUGGACAUACCUUUGCCCCCAAGAUUAGUCGUGUCGGCUGAAAGUGACAUCAAAUGGACCUAGAAUAAUAGCCCUCUAACCACAAAUAGACUUCCAGUGAUUCCUGAAUGAUACAGCCAGAGAACAGUUUGUGCAUUACACUGACAAACCCCCUUAUUCAACUUCUUCCACCAACACCGGAUGCUCUAGUGGUACUUAAAAUGCAUGACCUUGAAGUCUUGAUCCUCCUUGAAUACAGUAAACACCAAGUAUUGAAGCUGAUGUUAAAGUUGAUGCCUCAUUGAGACAGUAUUAGACCAGCUAUUCAUUGGACCUCCCAUCCUCAGCCAUGGUACUCUACUUCGUGUGCAAGAGAUAACCAUAAACUAUGAAAGCAGAAUUCAGAGACUGGCAACAUUACCUGAAAGGGCACCGGAUGAUUAUUCAUCUUCUCAAACUACAUCACUAUCACUCAGCCAUUGGCAGUUACACUACUACUUGGUUUUUAUUCAGUUUAACUGCUGUUUCCAGAAUAAAGAAGCAAAUAACCUUUGAAAAACUGCUAAAACAAUUCCUUCAUCACUGGCAUAUCUGCCUGUUCUGCUCAAAAAUUAGGAGUACUCAGCUCUACAUGUAAUACCUGAUCCACAAGAGACAGUCUCUGAACACCCUUUUCUUGUGUGUGUAAUUUAAAAUGUGGCCAUUGUAAAAAUUUUCUUCCAGCCAAUGAGAGAGUUUAAGAUGAAUCUUUUGAUGUCUGAUACCAUCAGUUGUUGAUGUUAAAUGAUAUUUAGAGGUAGGCCUUUGGAUCAGGCCUCGAUAGCUUACUUGGUGGGCAUCUCAAAUUGCAUAUCUAUCUUUCUCCUGGAAAUGUAGACUAACGUGGAGGGAAAUCUACAAAGCCUGCAGCUAAAGAGUUUUAUCAGUAGACAAGCUUCUUGAGUCUUCCUAAUGUCACAAGACCACAGUCCCUUAUCCUUGUGGAUGUUUCCAUGGAAUUUCAUCUGUUGUUUUAGCUGAAUCACAGUGGCUGACUUCAUUCCUUGUCAUGAAAUACUCUCAGGCAUUAAGACAAAUUGUCUGUUCAGGAGGGAUUUGAUACAUGAACUCCCAGACCAGAUUACGGAGAUCAAGUAGACUUUAAUCCAUGCCCUGAGAAAAAACCUUAUUCAGAAUCGACUUUAGGGCCAGCUGUCCUCAACUACUUUAAUGAAUGCACUGCUUAAAAGUUGGGAAUGUUUCUUUAUAUCUUUGUCUCUUAUCCUCUACACUAAUUGUGAUUAUGUGACUCAGUAUACAAAUCAUCAAACAAAGCCUAAGUCUGGUUAUUCUAUACUGCUCAUCUUCAACAAAAUCUGAUGACUAGCCUGCUUGUGUAUAUACAACUAUUAUUUGUAAAGAAGAAAUUGUCUACAAACUCGGUUUUUUCACUACCUUCAUAAUGUCAACUCGAUUUUCUUUUUCUCCUGGACUUGACCGGAAGAUACGUUGAUCUAUCACUGCCAGUCAUUCCCUUUAACCCUGUUAAAAUGAGAGACUUAAAAGGUAAAGAUGAUUAUCUGUUCAAGAGUCUAAUGUAUGCUGUGUAUAAGAAUUGAUGAUGGAAAAAGCCUAAAACUCAAACCUAGUAACUUACUAUCUCCAUGCCUCAGAUCUCAUCUUGCAGCAGUACCAUUCAACCAGUCUGAGGCCUUGACUUGUUAAUAAGAUGAUUCUCAGAUGAGCUGAAUUACAGAAGAUGGAGACUUGAUUACCAAAGAAAAUAGGGCCAACCUUGAUGAACCUGGCUCUCCCAACCCUGUCACUCCCAGAUGUAGCAUAGACUCCUAGACAGAACCUCAAGUCUGGAUUUAAGAGAUACCCUUCUCCUGAGCUGAAAGUUCUUGGGCAGAUCAGCAGGAAAGUGAAAGUUGCUAUACCUGACUGGCCCUUUAAGAUCAUAAAAUUGUAUCUAGAGUAAAUGGUAUGGAUUAACCCUGGAAUACUCAGGGUUAAAGCUAAUUUACAGAACUUCAACAUUAAACUGCCUGUUUUUCCAGAUCUUAGCCUGGCUACUGACUGGCCCUGCUGAAGGUACCUUACUUCCUGUCUAUUGACCUGACUCAGCCAUUGCCUGCCUUUCUGACAUGUUGCUGCAAUCAGACAUUGUCCUUCAGAAGACUACAGCUGAUCUCGGCUAUCUUAUAUGCAGUUCCACCAAGAAGUUUUGAACAGAAGCAACCUGUACUUCUGUACUCUACAGGACUUAAUGUUCACAACAGGAAGGAGCAUGCUACAUACUCCUUGACCAGCAGCUUUUUUUUUUUUUUAACUGCAGAGUAAGCCUCUAUGCCUGUAUAUAUUAGAUCAUCAUUUUCAGCACUUGGGACCCUUUCUGCCAGAUCUGAAGGAGCAGAGCAGAUUGAAAGCACUGUCCAUUCCUCCAUUCUGUGGUCAUACAGAGAUGAAUCUGAUUUACCAGUAUUCACAGAAAUGUACCAGUUCAACUUGGCAAAAGACUUAAAGGAACAUAAAACUUUCCCACUGAACUUAAAAUCCACCACUGACUUGAGGAAGUCUCACAGAACUAUUUGCCAGCGGGAGGCUGGUUGUCCUGUUUCAUGUCAGCAAGACAGUUGGGCUCUCAGACUCGUGACGACUGAGUUUACUUACAUUGAAACCCUUGUAUCAUCCAGAUAUGCUGUUGGACAGGAUUAUUCCAUUCAGAUGGAUUACAAGCCUCCUGAGUAGAGGACAAACUUAACUACUCAUGAUUUGUUUUGAGAAUACUUUUAUCAUCAAGGAAGGAACAAUGCCAGUGAUUACCAUUCAACUUUAUGAGCAGAGAUUAAACUUCUUCAGUAUCUGGUCUUACCACUGACAUGGGUUGGUUUUGAUUGACCAGCCUCCAUUCCAUUCCUUUGUAAUGACUCCCUGAUGUUUCUUUGAACUUCCUCUCCCUUUCUUCAGUCCACAUGGUUCAAUCUGACCUGAUCAAUCAACACAGUCCAUCUCCUUGACCAUAGUGAUGGGUUCAGGAUUGGUCGUGUGAUUCAAGUUGGUCCAGUGAUUCUCAACCCUAAGAGUUUUAGUGAACUACGAAAGAGAAGCUCUUUACUGAGAUUGCUUAGCUCUGUAGGAUGAAAAGCUCAAACCAACAGGGCCCAACAUUUCAAAUGAGCCAGUCGGAGAAUGAAGCCAGUACAGAGGAAAAUGGAGCCAAAUGAUGGAGAGACUUGAGUCCUGAUGACAAUGUUUGUGCCCCUGGAUCAAACCGUGCCUGAAGCUAGUAUAUCCCCUGGACUUUUCAGUUAUGUGAAUCAAUAAAUACCCUUCUUUGCUUAAGUUACUUUGAGUUGGGUUUCAGUUACUUGAAAUUGAGUCCUAAGAUACCUGUCUACCAAUAUCAGAAUCUUUAAGUAUUAAACUAGAGGUCAAAGCUACACUGAUAUUAUUUUCCAGUCCAGAAGAUAGAAUGGAACAAGAGCUGACAUAUUUAAGUUACUACAGAAGCAUAAAAAUUAAUUACAUGGUAGAAGAAUAUAGUAAAAAAUCUAAAUGUUUAUCAGCAAAGAAUUCGUUAUAACCACUAUAAAACACCUGGUUCAACCAUAUAAGAACAUUUACAUGUCUGUCGUAAAGAACAAAAUACAUUUAUUACAUACUGGCAUGGAAAAAUGGCCAUAAUUUAUUAAGUGAAACAAACCAUUGCUAGAAAUAUGUGUAGUAUGAACUCAUCUAAAAAUUUGUUUAUGUUCAUAAUGCAUAGAAAAGUCUUAAACAGUGUAGAUUACAUGACUUUCAACUUUACAUUUCUGUAUUUUAAUAUUUUACACUGCUCACAUUUAAACUCAUUUUAAAAUAAAGAACUUUUAAAAUACACUGCUUACUGUUCGACCUUGACAAGUUACUUAACACUGAGCCUGUUUUGUCAAAUAAUUUAAAAGACCUGCCUUUAUAUUAGUGAAUAUUUAGAUAAAUAUAUUCAUCCAUUACUCAAUCUGAUUACUCUUGAACCUUUCUGAGCUCAGUAACUUCCUUAAUUUUUAAUGUCUGAGUGUAUUUGGCUUAUAAACUUUAUAAUUUCGGUGUUCAUCAAAGAUUAUUCCAGUUCUCAACCAACAUUAAUCUAUUUAAGACCUCUUGCAGUGUUCACACUAGGCAGAGAGAAGGAUAAAGUCACAUUUUCCUUGAAGUCUUUGAGUAUUCUGAUCUUCCUGCAAAGUCAAAGUCAAUAAUGGCCUUCUACUGCCAAAUCCAUUACAUAAACAUCUGAAUGUUCAGCAGCACAAACACCUCCCACCAGCAUCCUGACUCUUGAAGUGUCAUUUUCUUCCUUCCCUGCCGGCUGUUGCUCCUUUGUAGGUUCAGUUCUCAGUAUUGGUAUAGCAGAUACCCAUUGCUUUUUGUCUCCUACCCCCACCUUUUUCUUAGUGAUAGAUAUCCAUUUUUCCUUCGGAAUACUACUCUUUGCCAUUCUGUGGGGAUGCUGUAAAUGACAGUAUUUUUGUGUCGUGCCCCCUGUCUGACAGGUUGGACUGUGUGAUCCACGCUUGUACAAUCUAAAUUCCCCUCCCACCAAGACUUUGAGUCUUAAGAGAGGUGACACAAAAUUACAGGAACUGAGUCCUGAUUGUGGUGUCCCAAGGAAAUCAUAGGAGUUAGGUGAAGACAUCCCCAAAGAUGCCCUGGUUUCUGUUGUCAAACCUGAUUAUCCAGAUUUUCCAUUGUUUCUGAGACCACCAUAUAUCUUCACUGUUUUUGUCAAACAAAGUGGGGGUUUUUUUGCUUGUAACCAAAUGACUGGUUACAGAAAUUGGUAACAGUUAAAUAGUAGGCUUCAAACCCUCAGAAGCAUGGGGGAUCUGGAAUUGAUUAUUGCACUGAUUGAAUUAAAGGCAGCAGGAACACUUGCUGUCUAUGGACUGGGGUGGGGGUGGAGGGCAAUGAGCCAUUUACAAUGGCGAAGAAGCUAGUAGAGAUCCUCCCCGUGUCAUUGGAAUCUUGUACCUCUUGAGAAAACAUCUGGAUGACCAGGUAGCUAUUGAUAGUAGAACAAUCUGAAGUGGAUAAGGAAGGUUAAGACCACUUGAGUUAGGCAUGCUUAAUUAUAAACUAAAACUUGGAGAUUGAUUCUACAAGUUGCAGAAUUAUGAGGGUAGUUUGCCAUAUUACUUAGAUCUUUCGUGAGAAGACAGUUUGAAUAGAGACUGACUUAUGUAAUAUUGGUAUCUGGGAAGAUUCAAAAGACUUGGAAAUUUUCAACCCACGUAUAUCUCAGGAAUAAAAAUGUAGGUCUUCCCAUUAGUCAAAAACUCCUGACUGAAGGAAAAAUACAGUGUAUAGGCAAGGAAAAACAGAAUGCGCAGUUGGCUGUCCACAACCACAAGUUCUGCACCUGGAUUCAACCAACAUGGAUCAAACUUGACAGUUAAAUAUGGGGAUGUGGUACCCAUGGGUGCAGAGAGCCAGCUGUAGAAUGCCAUUUACCUAGGAGACUUGAGCAUCCUGAGAUGUCGGUGUCCACUGGGCUCCUGGAACCAGCCACCUGUGCAUACCUUAGGAGAACUACCGGCUCUAGCUCUGUGACCUUCCAAGAGCGCAGCCAGAGCAGUGGCCUUCCUGUGCCUUAGGUCUUCUCGCCCUGUAGACGGUCUGAGAAAGCUCCUC